rnacentral:rRNA from 1 species
CCUACGGGAGGCAGCAGUGGGGAAUUUUGGACAAUGGGGGAAACCCUGAUCCAGCAAUGCCGCGUGUGCGAAGAAGGCCUUCGGGUUGUAAAGCACUUUUGUCAGGGAAGAAAUCCUUUGGGCUAAUACCCUAGGGGGAUGACGGUACCUGAAGAAUAAGCACCGGCUAACUACGUGCCAGCAGCCGCGGUAAUACGUAGGGUGCAAGCGUUAAUCGGAAUUACUGGGUGUAAAGCGUGCGCAGGCGGUUGUGUAAGACAGGUGUGAAAUCCCCGGGCUUAACCUGGGAAUUGCAUUUGUGACUGCACGACUAGAGUGUGUCAGAGGGGGGUGGAAUUCCACGUGUAGCAGUGAAAUGCGUAGAUAUGUGGAGGAACACCAAUGGCGAAGGCAGCCCCCUGGGAUAACACUGACGCUCAUGCACGAAAGCGUGGGGAGCAAACAGGAUUAGAUACCCUGGUAGUCCACGCCCUAAACGAUGUCAACUAGUUGUUGGGGAUUUACUUCCUUGGUAACGUAGCUAACGCGUGAAGUUGACCGCCUGGGGAGUACGGCCGCAAGGUUAAAACUCAAAGGAAUUGACGG